rnacentral:rRNA from 1 species
UACGUAGGGGGCAAGCGUUGUCCGGAUUUAUUGGGCGUAAAGAGCGUGUAGGCGCCAGACAGGUCCGUUGUGAAAACUCGAGGCUCAACCUCGAGAUGUCGAUGGAAACCGUCUGGCUAGAGUCCGGAAGAGGAGUGUGGAAUUCCUGGUGUAGCGGUGAAAUGCGCAGAUAUCAGGAAGAACACCGAUGGCGAAGGCAGGUCUCUGGGCAUUAACUGACGCUGAGGAGCGAAAGCAUGGGGAGCGAACAGG